AUUUUAGAUUCGUAUUUCUUCCUAAACAGCAAAGCACUCAUGUGAAACCAACUUUUAUGUUUGGGCACAUGAGAGCUCUCCUCUCGUCUGCUAGGAUGCUGGUUUGAAAUAGUGGUUUGAAAUAAGCUUUAUUCACAUGCUGUAAAGGUGGCUAAAGAGAAAUUCUUGAACAUGCUGUCAAAGAAUCCUCACCAGAAAAGUCAUGUUGUCUGUGUUCAUCCCAGAUGAAUCACAGUUCUUUGCAAGAGAGAGCUUGGCAACAUGCUGCUGAUUUUCAGGAUCUUCUUCAUGCAAUGAUCUUUAGAUAGAAUAGUCAUGGAAAGGGGGCUGUCUAACAAGACUGCCUUUAAAAACCAUAGCUGUGAAAAAUGUGGUGCAAAAAUGAAAAACCCUUCCACCUUGAGAAGACAUAUGAAGCGCCACCAUCCUUCAACUCUAGGCCAUGAAGCCCUUCUGAAGAGACUUGACAAUUGCACCACCAACAAAAAUCACCCUUCCACAUCUACGCUAGCAGCUUCUCCCACGUCACCUUUAACCCCAUUGGCUCUUGCAGCCUCAGUUUCUAAAACAUCACCGUCAACAACAAAACGAAAAUAUCCGCAUGUAGGUUUUUCAGAAGACCCUAUUCUUCUUGAAAGAAAAAUGAUAAAAACAACUGCCCAAGCACCACAAUGCAGGGUCGAUCCAAAUGAAAUGGUUAUUGUUCCUUCUACAACAGAGGAAGAACUGACAUCACCAGAGAAGUUUGGGGUGAAGUCAGGAUCCGAGCUAGAUACGCCUCUGAUGAUAUCUUUGGUUGGGUCUUACAGGCUAUGCCACAAGGUAAAAGGGGCUCAGGAUGAGAGGACCAGCACGGUGGAGAGCAGUGAAACACUUGUGUCAGAUGAAGAUUGCAUCAUUCCAGAUACAAGUUCACAGGAGUCUGAUGUUGCCUCAGAGCUAGAGAACAUGGUUGAGAUCAGAAUGAGUGAAAGCGAGGGCUCAGAAUUUAAGGGAAUCAAGGCAAGGUGGGUGAAAGAAGGAGAAGAUGUGAGUUCUACAGAUUGUGAAGAUGAUAAAGAACAUUCUUGUCUUUAUCUAAAGCAGACGUCUGAUACACAUCAAGAGAAAACCUCAGAGGAAGAAGAAUUUGAAUUGCCAAAACUAAAUCUGCCCUCAAGACGAUUAAGUCUGGCCAAAUCAUCACAUCAAAGUACUGGAGUUCAUGACACACAGGAUGUUGGGAGGGUUGAGCAGAGAAUCUCACAAAAAGAGACAUCGAGGCAUCCUCCAAAGAAUUUGAGAAAACGACCUCGAGAUGCUAUAUGGCAUGGAAAAAAUGAGUGUGGUCGCUAUAGCAGCAGCAAUAAUUCUGAGGAGAGUAUUGAAUCUUGUUGCUCAGGUGAUGAUGAUGUUGAGAGUAGAAAGAAAGAGUUGCAUUCUGGUUUUGAUCAACUAGAAUUAAGCAGAGCUCUUCAUGAGAGGAGUAAGAAAAGCAGAGGGAAUUCUGAUGCUGAUAUAUCAUUUCUUAGAGAUCAUGGUGCACAGAUCAAAACUCAGACUAGUCAGUGCCAGUUCACCAGUGCACAGAAAGGUCAGUUAUCAAAUACAGACCAACCCAAAAGCACAAAUGAGGCUGCCUAUAAGCGUCUUGAAGAAGAAUGCCCAUCAACGAAGAUUGCAACAAAAGAAGCUGCCCUGAGAGAAAGUUCCUUUACAAUUUUGUGCUAUCCGCUGGCAGCAGGUCGCAGUCUUGCAGACUUUAGUGGUAAAGUUUCAGAUACAAAUUCACAUGAGUUGAAAGACUCCACCAACAUGUCAGAAACUGACACAGCAACUGGGCUACAAUCUCCACAUUCAUUGUCAGGAUUUGAUGACAUGACUCAACCCUGUGAUGAAGUUGACAAAGUUGCUUCAAGUUUGGCUGCUCAGCCUAUGGAAGAUUUUUCCAAAAGUAGAAAAAAAAUAUUGCAAGGCCAACAGUCAGAUGAUGGUGUUGAUCACAUGAUGAAGGCAAAGUCAGGCAAGGAAAAUUGUGUUGAACAGAAGCAGCAGCACUUUGAAAAAAGCAUCAUGGACUCUAUUGGGCUAGAGGAGGCAGCAGAGCAAGACAGUGACAGCAGUCGGAGCGAGCUAUUGUUUGGUGAACCUUCUGAUGAAGAACAGACAGGCAAAGACUGUGUUGGAGAAACUUUUGCCAUAACAACCAUGCCCAAUUGUUCUAACUCGUCUGCCAUAAAGGUGACUGAGUGGCUGGAAACGGACACUAGAAAAAUAAAAAGAUCCUGCAAUGUAUUGCCAGAUUCUGAAAUGAAAACUAUGGAAAUUAAAGCCCAAUUUGAGAGUGAGAAAUCAGAUUCCAGUUUUGUGUCUGCAACAUUUAAGGGUGAUGCUAAGGAAAGCAUUUCAUACUCUUUAGAAGAUGAAGAUGUUGUCAUUGUGUUUGAUUCAGAAGAAGAGGAGUUGUAUAGCAGAUUCACACAGGUUGAAGUAAAAAAGGAAAGCCUUACAGAAGAAAACAAAACAGGAAGUGUUAUUUCCAGUGAAGAUCAACAAGAAUUGAUGGGUGGUGAUGAGGAAGAUGGUGACUUGUUUGAAGACAUAAGCAAGCAGGUGCAGAAGAGAUCUUGGGACAAUGCUGGGGCAUCCACAAUUCCCACAGCUGAUGAUGACAUUUCAGCUUAUGAUCAGCCAACAUUGGUUGAUGAUUACAGUUGUUUUGAUGACAAUGAUGAUGAUAUGUACUUGGCUGAAACACAGCCAGAUGUUGAUUUAUUGAAUGAAUGUAAUGACCUUCAUGUGAAGAAAAUUUCAGCAAAAAAAAUGUGUGAAGGACUUGAAGAGUGUACUGAUUUGGAAUCCUCCUGGAGUGGUGCAGCAUCACCUGCAGGAAGUUUACAGGUAACAGACACAGCAAAAGCAAGUGACCAUGUACAAAUGAGAACAGUAGACAAUUCUGCAGUACAUUCAGUCUCAACAACUAACACUAUUUUGAAUUAUGAUCAGCCAACUUUGGUUGAUAAUUAUGGUUUUCUUGAUAGUGAUGAUAAUGAUGAUGUAUAUGUGACUGACACACAACAAGAUGAUGAUUUUCUUCAUCUUCAUGACUAUAGUAAGGCUAAGGUGAAAAGCAGUUCAACCAAGACAACAUUAUCUAAAGGACAUGAGGGUUACAGUGACCUUGAGCGUUUCAAAAGAGAUGGCACCUUGCUUGUUAAUAAUGCACAGAAGGUAGAUGCUGCAGAAACAAGCAAGCAAAUGCAAGAUACAGCACCAGAGAAAUUUGCAGCUGACCAAAAUCGCACAGCUGCUGAGACUUCACUUUAUAAUCAGCCAACUUUAGCUUAUGAGUCUAAAGGAGUUGGUGGUGGUGAUGAUGAUGAUGGUGAUGAUGAUGCUAGGUACUUGGCUGAAACACAAGUAAAUGUUGGCCUAAUGCAUGAUUAUCAUGAUUCUGAUGCAAAGAGCAGUUUGACCAGUAAGGCGCCCUCUAAAGGACUUGCAGAUUAUGGGGAGAGUGAAUCUUCCAAGAGUGGUAUAGUUUCACUUUCCGAGAGUGCACAGACAGCAAACAAUGCAGAUGAUUUUGAUGAUGGUAUGGAUGACGCACUUUGUCUGGUAGCAACACAGGUGGAUACAGCACCAAUGGAAAGACCUGAUGUUCAAAAACAAAUGGCACAGAAAAGUAUGCCAUCCAUAGAAAGCCAACAGAUGCUGGAACAAAAUUCAAAGGAAUGGUUGAAAAGGGCUAAAUUAAAGAAAAGCUCUGAGCGAUUGAAAGAAAUUUUGUCCAGAAUAUGUGGUACAGGGGUUAAGACAAAAGAUAGCGUAUGUGCAAGCUCUUGCAGCAUAGAUGUCACUGGCCCUAAAUCUACAAAUGCGUCUGAAACAGCCCAUUGUAAUCGAGAUACCAUCAAUGAAGGAAAACUAAAAAAAGGAACUGCUCACAGAAUGGCAACAGUUGAAGACUUGCAAAAAUUACAUGUUUCCAGAACACAACCCAUGACUGUCGCAACAGGGAAAUCAUGCACUUUAUUUCCAACCCCUAAUUCUUCAAAGGAAGAACCAGGUACUUUCAUAAAUAUUGUCAACGCAGAUGGCAACAGAACUACAGUGUCAAAUGAUAAUGAAAAAUUUGGUUCUGCACAUGAUAAAAUAUACAUGGCAGAAACUCUUAUUGCAGACACCAUCAGUAUGAGUGAUCUGUCUGAUACAGAAAUGAAUAGUGAGGAUGACAGUGCUUUAUUUCAAGCUGCCACACAGAUUGAUCCACAGUUUGCUGAUAAUGAAGAGUCAUUCGUGCUAGCAGGCAGACGAGCAUCUGCUUUGCCACUUAGUCACCAAGAAGCCAGUUCUCAUCAUCAAGAAGAACAUGAGACUGUGGAUUUAUGCAAUGCUGAAAAGCUUGAUAUGGAAGAAAUGAGUGAAAACCCCGAUAAUGAAGCUGAUGAGCUGGAUCAUCACAGCAUCUACUACGCAGCUACUCAAGCUGAUCCUGAAAUUCAAAAAUUCGUAUCGCUUGAAGACAAAAGCUCCUGUGAGAGAGAAGAAAUGGUCAAAGGAAGAAAGUUAGAAAACCUACAGCAUAAAAUAGAUGCACAGUCUUCUACAAUUGUUAUUCCAAGGCAGUCAUUUUCCAAAAAGUCUUAUUCAUGUAAAGGUGAUGGCAUCCAGCAUAGUGAUAAGUUGAUGAAAAAGGCUGACAGAUCUCUUGAGUCUGCAGUCCAAAAGAUGAUGAAACAACGUCCUCUUGUCUCUCGCAUCCAGGAGAUCUCUAUCCAGCCAGAAAGUCGACGGAGAGGUAAGUGGAGAGGUUUCAAGCAGAGACUUGAUCAUUCAGAAUUGCAGAAGAGAGAUACUGCUGACAUAGAGCAAAAGCAGACAGAAGUAGAUGAUCGCUGGAUGUCGUCAUCAAAAAGGCAUUUCCAAGAGGGUAAUAAGUCAUCUGACUGGGUCAAAACAAAGGGGUUCAAGAUGCCUUCCAAACGACAAAAAAAGUCAAAUUCUAAGGAGGACAUCAGCAUUUCAACAGAUGCAGCCAAGAAAACAAUGGAAGAGAGAAACAAGAGGAUUAUCUGUGACCCUUCCUCUGCAGGUACUCACUGGCGCAGGUUGUCAACAACCACAGAACAGCCAUGUCCUGAUACUGAUGUUGAACUGCCCAACACUCAAGAGGUUAUGGAGAAACAGUAUCCAAUGUUGUUUCUGUCCAACAUGAGCACCAAGAAUGAGAAGAAGUCUAGCAACGUGAACAGUAAAGUAGUCUGUGAGAAAGAAAACAGGGAAAAGCCUUCAGAAACAUUCCCAAAAAACAACAGCUCUAACAGCCUGACAAGCGAGAAAAGCAAACUUCCUUUCAUCAAGAAUCCACCCAAAGUGUCGGGCAGCGAAAGAGCAAAAAGUGAACCUUCCAAGCAUGAUGCUUUCAGUGAAAGACAAAAGUUUGUGAAGGACGGUCAGGGCCAGUUACUUGAUUCCGAUAAAGAUGAAAGAACUUUCUUGAGGAAGAAAAUUAGAACAGGCUCCGCCAGUUCAAGUUCAUUGUCAGCUGAAAAUCAAGGUCCACCUUUGUCCAGUGUUUUGGAUUCCCAAUCCAGAGAUGAUACGUCUCAAAAUUCAAGAAAUCAUUCUUCACACAUAGGGCACACCAAAGAACGACAUUGUUCUGGAAUGUAUAGAGAAAAGGGUCACGCUUCCAAGGAUGACAGUGUUGACCAAUCAAAUCUUUCUAGAGACAGAAAAAGACGUUCAUCUCAGGACUCAAAAACUGCAGACAGUCACUCAACUUUAAAACAAAGCAUAUUGAAAGACCCUCAUAAAAAAAAGGAAACGGGGUCUUCCAAAACUGUGAGAAUGAGUUUAUCAAAUUCGCAAGAAAAAUCUCAGCUAUUAGCAUGUGCUCGUUCUUCAGUGAAACAUACAGCAUCAUCUGCAGCCUUGGCAUCCAAUCCUUUGCCAGCUUCUCGCCCACCAAUGCCAGCAGCAAGUGCUAAUCUACUUGCUGAGAACCUUCUUCAGAAAAGGUCACAACCUCUAGCACAACCACCCAUGUGGGGAAUGGCAUCCUUCAGAGCCUCAAAUGCAUCAGUUGAUUCCUCUGGCAUCAGUAGAACCACUAAACCAGCCCAAGGACAACUGCUGCAAAGUGACGACCUGUUGUCCAAGUUGUUGAGCUGGUCGCCUCUGUGGCUGGAAGAGUAUGAGAAGUCUGACAAUGGCAGUUUACAAAGCUUGCCCCCUAUUGUAAAGCAUAGUCAACUGUACCCUCUGGUGACCACAUAUGAAAACAUCUUUGACUAUCAGGAAAUAUUCUUUGCGCUUCUAUUGCUGGAGAUCUGGGAAGAGAUUUUCAAGAGUUGGAAAGAGAAGAAGAACAAAAGGUCUAUUUGCAAUGUAUGCUUCACAUCUAAUCAACGUUGCUCUAAUCAGACUUGUUUGGGAUUUGAAUGGAAAGGUUUCAUCUCAAAGCAGCAGCGGGAAGGACGUUUGUAUCCACUGGAGGGGGAGGUAGUGGUUGUUGACAUGCGUGGUGAGUACAUCAACUCAAGUAAAUGCAACCCUUCCAGGAACAUCACCAAUGCACCACAGUUGGGUUAUGUGGAAAAAAUAAGCAUUCAGCCAUGUAUGCAGGCUAAGGAUGUCAUCAGUAGCCAUCCAGCACUCAAAGGAGACACUUUGUGCUCUAAAACAGAUGCCUUCCUUAUAACCAUCAUGUUGAAAAUGCGCUAUCGAAAAUUUGCCCCAAGCCCUGACCAUCUUGUUAAGCUUUAUAGUCUUGGCCCUAUCGUCAAUGGUCUACGGAGAUUUGAGGCUCUAACACACUUACCACGUAGCCCACUUCAGCGUGAUAUUUUGAAGCCAACCCAGUCAGUGUUCAGGCAUUCUUACCACUUGAGAAAUCAGCCUUUUCCCCAGAAACUCCAGAAUGACAGUCAAAGGAAGUACAAUGAGAUCCAGACCCAAGUCAUCAGAAAUAUAGCAACUGCUAUACAAGAACCUCCACAGAUGCCUCGUGUUCGUUUGCUACAAGGCCCACCUGGUACGGGCAAGUCACAUGUCAUUGCUGGAACCAUCUUGAAGAUUCUUGAGGAUAGUAAGAAUGUAGCCAAGAUCUGCCUUGCUGCACCCUCCAAUGCUGCUGCAGAUGAACUUUUGCUCCGAUUAGUAAAGAAGAAGAAUGAAAAUGGUUUAAAAUUCUCCAUGGUGCGAAUUGGCACAGGAGAGAAUAUAAAUCCGGCUGUCAGAGGCUACACACUGGAAAGCAGGAUAAACAAAGCUAAGGAAGAAGAAAUGAGAAGGAGGCAGUUAACCACCAUUCCAAAAUCUGUUCAGAUGGAAUAUGAACGCUAUGAAAAGUUGAUAAGGCAAAAGAAACUUCAUAUCGAAGAGUGCAAGAGAAGGAAAGAUAAGAAAGAAAUUGACAAAUCUGUCAAAGAACUUGAUGGUUUGAAAAAGAGACAGAUGCCUCUGAGGAGAAUAAUUCACAAUGACCAGAAGGAUAUAACCCUGACCCCUGAAGAGUACUAUACAAUCCGCUGCAAUGUGCUGCUACAAGCCAACAUUGUUUGUGGCACCCUAAGCAGCUUUGGGUCAACACAAAUCUACAAAGUCUUUCGAGACCAUGGGAACAGCAGCAACUCAAGACACUUUUCCUGCGCCAUUAUUGAUGAAGCAACCCAAGCCACCGAGCUUGACUGCCUCAUACCACUUCAGUAUGGCAUAACCAAGCUUAUUUUAGUGGGAGAUCCUCAUCAGCUGCCUCCCACUGUCCUUUCAAAAAAAGCACAAUCACUACACUAUGGGCUGUCAUUAUUUGAGCGACUCUAUAAUCAUUUUCGAGAGGACUAUAAAGAGGAAAGUCCUCUGCUGAUGCUGCGUGUGCAGUAUCGCAUGGACAGAGCCAUCUGCCAUUUUCCCAAUAAUCAUGUUUAUAGUGGCCUGCUUCAGACAGACAGCCAGAUUAUAGAGAACUGCAAGCGCUUUCCACUGCACCCAUACCUGGUGUUUGAUCUUGCAGAGGGGCAAGAGCAGUUGUCCCAGUCUGGUUCCUUAAGCAAUGAGGCAGAAGCUGAACUUACAGCAGAACUCUGCUGUCAAAUCCUAAAGUUGGGCUUCAAAUUAUCAGCAGCCAACAUGGGUAUUAUCUGCCCUUACAGCAGUCAGAAGCGACUUGUCUGUGAAAAACUAAAUGAAAGAGGAGUGAAACAAGUGGAGGUCAAUACUGUAGACAGCUUUCAAGGGCGAGAGAAACACAUCAUCAUCUUAUCAUGUGUACGUGCUCAGAGUACAUCGGGCAGUAUUGGGUUUAUGGCCGACAAAAGAAGAAUGAAUGUGUCACUUACACGAGCAAAAUAUUCCCUGUACAUCAUUGGUCAUCUUCAGUCUCUGAAGGAUGUUGCCACACAUUCCCAACAUUUUGUGGAGGACCCAGCUGUUUUGGAUACAAACAGAAUCAUCUGGUUGUGUGGUUUUCACAGGUGCAGAGCGAUAAAUCUCAUUGCACAUCGUACAUCUGUAUUUGUCAAGAUGAUGCUUCCAGGAUAGAAUUAUUUUCCUGCAGUUAAGUCACUCUGAAGAAAACCAGAGGGCUUGUAGGGUUUAAGUGCUUUUCCAUUUGAAAAUGUACAAUUUGUAAAUAUAUAGGUGCAUAUGUUGGUGUAUAUAUAUGCUGAAUUAGUUUUUUGCAUGUUGGUUCCAGAUGGUAGCUGUGUUGGUGAUAGUGAUUUCCAUCUGUGUCAAUGAAUGUAUUGAUGUGUAGGUCCAUGAUUUCUGGUCAAAAAUUUACUUGUGGUUUUUUUUUAACUCUACAGCUGUGUGUUCAUGUGGGGUUUUCCCCCUAAAAUCAUGUGUGCUACAGAAGCAGCAAGAUUUGACAUUAUAUUGUUGUUUUUGCUACCUCCUCUUGUUUCACAUUUUAGUGUUCUGUUUCUAUCAGCCAUUUUUUUUUUAUAUCAAACAUCCUAUAAAGUGACUUAUUUAUUUAUGAACUGCUUUGGCUGAAAUGUAAAGAGGCUGGAACUUGUUGAGGAUGCCAUUCAUUAAUUUUAUUUAACAAAUAUGGUGUACAUAUUUUGCAGUAAACACAGAUUAUUCAUAGUGGCUAAUAGCCAAAUGAAAAUAAUAAUUAUAAUAUUUAAUCACUUUUUUCCAAAUCUGGAUGAGUUACAACUGUUGGUAUCAAUAUGAUUAAUGUAGCUCAUGCCAGCAAUGUGCUGCUACAAAUAAGGAUCAGAAUUCAGCUACAUAAGACAAAUGGGAGACUUUAUCAACUUUUCAACCCCACACCUUUGUAGUGGAGGGGAAAGUAAAAAUUGUGGCUGCCUCUUUCAGAUUUCUCAUAGGAUCCCCUCACAGAGUUGUCCAACUUCACUCUGCAUGGCAGAGGUACAUCGCAAUUUGUGUAGUCAUAUAAUUAUAUUCCAAAUAAUUUUUCAUGAACAUGUUUUUUGCUUGAUUUCAGUGAGACAUGUUAAAAUAGUUCUGAAAAAUGAAAAGCUGUGCUCUUUCACUUGCUUGCUGCUCGUUAUUUUUAUCAUUAUAAACAGACUUGUUACUUUCUCAUCUUUUGUGGCAAACUUGCGAUGACAGCAGAAAGCUGUAGUGGAAGUGAUCAAAAUCUUACUCUUCCUCUUUUUUUUUCAUAUAAAAGUUAUUAUUUUUCAGGGAAAUAGACAAAAUAUUUUUGAAAAUUUCAUUUACUAAUUUGAGAUGGUUAAGUUUUUUUGUUGGAAAGAUUAUAACUUCUGAUAUCUAUGCUGAUAAUUUCACUAUUGCACAGUUUAAAAAAAAGCACAAAUGUAGCAUACUGGUAUGUGUCGUGAACUCCGGGGAAUGAGCAUGCGAAGGUGGUCAGAGGUUGCGAUUCCUGCUGCCUUGGGCUGUUCACACUCUCAACACCUCUACCAACUCGUGCCGACAUAAACGUGUACGCGCACACUUACACUAAAUUGCUAAGUACACUUUAAUUGACUCAGAGCCCCAGCUUACCUCCCCAAUAAACAACACAAGACCAUUUAGUGUAUUUAUGAAAGUUAUUAAUGGCCGUUAUCUAGGGUAUCUUGUUAUUUGUUUAUCCCCAGUCUAAGCAACGUGAGCCACUAAUUAGCUUAACCAACACACACAACACAUGCACUCGCGUAACACACACUCGAUCGCCACUUAUCUUUCCACACUAAAGUCUCUUGUCACGUGAGGGGCCCCUCCUUGCCGUAAUAUAGCCUCAGUUGCUGGCACGGUGUAAAACAUCAAUGCCCCCCCCCCCUCCGAUAUUGAUGUCCGAGAAUCCGUUGAUGAUGCUCCAUCGAUCGUAGCUGACUCCUUCACAAGCGCCGAGACUCUGGCACCACCAUGUGCCACCACAUUUCUGUCUCGUCCCUAGGCUGGACUGCCGUCUCAAGCUUAACAGCGCCUAACAGGAUCAACACUUAUCUACCAGCCUCUCUCUACUGUUUGCGACCUAACAGCUACUGGUGAUGAAGCGUUGCGCACUCUGUGCUAGAGUGGGUCUUAACGCACCUAUUGAGUCAGUUGUGCUGAAGCUGUCACGAUUCCAAGACAAAUCACAGCAGAGAAUCUGAACAGCCUUGAACGGACCUCUGCUACAACUUUACUCUUCAAGAACCCGGUACGAAAGACCACGAGUCUCAAUAUCAUGAUAGCUUUCCAGGGAAAAUAACAGGGAAAAUCACUUUGAAGUACCUGGUAAUAAAUCUAAUACCCAGUGAAGCUUAGUACAUGGAAUAGAUUUUUUUUUUCCAUCAGAAGCAUUACUAUCAGCUUAGAACUGGGACAAUAAACAUGCGUCAUAGCAACGUAUACAAACCAAAUACAGCCGAUGAACUUCAUGUUGAUGAAAAUAUUCAUGUCAUAUUUGGUGAGGAUUGGAUAUAUGGUGGACACAGACAUGUAUUUAUAUACACACACUGCCACAUUUUAGUUAAAAAAACGUGCUAUUACAGUCUUUUAUAUCUAUGGGCAUUUGCUUGGUUAAGAGAUAAUUGAAAAUAAUGAAUAUCGUGAUAAAUUUUUGAAAAGUUUUCCUUGUGUAAGGGAAAGACUUUCUGAUUCUGGUGAACAUUUUAUGCAAUUUUUUCCUGAAAUGUGUACUCUAGAGAGGAUCUUUAGAUUGUAAAUUUGCUAACAUAUGCUAUUUGAACUGCAAUCCUAGCAGACUUUGCUAUCCAGGUGUUGUUUUAUAUAUUCACAUGUAUUUAUCAUCAUUCAUCAUAACACCAUAAAUCACAUAGUUUUUGCAAGGCAUGGUUUUGCUCAUCAAAGUUUAAUUUACCAUCUUAUUAAUUGUAAGUGCCUGUUAAUGUUCACUUUAACCCUUGCAGUAACAUUUAAUUCACAGAAUAAGUAAGCUGAAUAUAACUAAAAUAUGGGCUUAUUGCAGCCCUUAGGAAACCUAUAUAUGUCACUGAAGUCAAUAAAACAAAGUGAAACAUGCCUAUGCUUAUUUCUAACCCUAUUGCCUGAAGGGAAACUUCUUUUUAUUUUCAGUUUACUUUAAGUGUGAAACUGUUCCAAGCACUGUUUUGAAGCUGACAAAUAAUGAUAAAUGCCAAAUAAUUGUAAAGCGCAUUCUCACAUUCCUAAGAAGUAUGCUUUUAUCGCCUAUGAACAAGAAUGAAACAUGGACAGCAGGAGGGGCAGGAAAACAAACAUAAGAACUAUAAAAGAAUAAACAACAGUAUUAAUGAUGAAUAAAAACAAAUACCGAAAACGCAAGAAGAGGAACCACAUAACAAUAACUGGGAAUAACAUGACAUUGCAAAAGGAACACUGUCAGGGAAGGAUGUGAAAAAAGGACUAGAAUGGUGGGAAAGAGAGUUAGGAAAUAUAUAGGGAUGACCCAGUCAGAAAGUACAGCACAGCGUAAUAACCCUGAAGUGAAACCACAGUCGCCUACAGAAAGCACCAGGGGCUGUAUGCACCGCCAGUGUAGUUGUUACAGUUCAGCUGACAGCUUGUUUUCUAAAUCCGGUUUUCUAGUUGUUCAGCGAGCACUAUAUGCUUCUGGUCUCAAAGUACGCGAACACAUUAGUCACGUUGAUUGGAUCCGGUGGCAGGCGAUAAAAUUUUCCAUCAUGAACGUGUAUUUUCCCAUGGCUGCCGAUGACGCCAUAAGGCCUUCCCACCAAUCCACGCAGUUCGAUUUGCGUGCAUGCGUCGUCGCCAUAGGAUGUAAGGGCAGGCAGGUUAACAAAAACAAAGUAGGCGAGAGAUAUUUGAGUUGAUCUCCACACACAGGAAGUAUUAAUUCCUCUUCUUGAAUUUGAGCAGCCAGAAACAAGUUUUUCGGUUUGUGGAGACAAUUCGUUCUUUUGCAGAGAGAUCGGUGCCGUCACAAUGUGUUGUCCACUUCUGUACGCCAUUGUUUCAUCUGAAGCAAGCGUUGACGUCCUAAAACAAGUGCGCUGCACAACAGCAUACGUAGGGACCGGGAGAGGGG